rnacentral:misc_RNA from 1 species
AUUCAGACCCGCUAUCAGCUGAUUGCCGAUUUUGAUUUUUUAGCUGCGCAAAUGAAAAUGGUAGCUGUAAUAGGAAAUAGAAGAAAAAUGAGUUGAUGCUGAACAAUAACAAAUUUUUAUGGCAUGUUAGCCUGUCAGAUUCUGUGACAAAUAGACUUGAGAAAUGGCAACUAAUUAUCAGAAAUUGGGAGAUCAUUCAAGGCAAGGAUUUUCCCAGCGUUUGAAUUCAACUGAAGAGAAGAAAUUCCCCACAUCUCGGAAACUACCUGACUGGGUAUGGAAAGCUCUGGUAAAGAUUCUUGGAAUCAAACUUAAAGGGCAGACGCGCGUGUCUUGUCUCUCUGUGUUCCUACAGGCUAUUACUUUACUUCUAGCCUGCGUCUUCUCUGUCACGGGAAUGAUUCACACUGUGUAUGAUGUAAAAAGCAGCUCCUCUCAAACAACUCUCACUAUCGGCUGUUCCAAUAUUGUGAUUGGUUUCGGAUGGGUAUGUUUAGGCAUAUACUCACAAAAACUGGCAGGAAGGCUGUUCUCAAACCGCAAUUUCUCAGAAAGUGUUCGGAUUCAUUCUCGUACUUUUUUCAAGAUCAGUGCUGUUGGGCUUGUGACAUUCCUUAGUGUGACAAUGAUAGCCCUUAACUGUUACAGCGAUUUCAGUGUGUUCGGCCCAAACAACUGUGACACCAUCUUCCUGCAUAACUCGAUCUGCCAUAUCAUGUAUUCCUCCCAUGUUGCCUUUAGCAUAAUGUCUUUGAUCUGGAAUUUGUUGGUGUGCUGUAUUCUGCUAUCUGUGUGUAGAACUCAUACAAUGGGACUUAGAAAAUUUGGAAUGCUGCUAGAGGAGGAUGCCAGGAAUUAUGUUCAGAGAUUUCAGAAACAGGAACCAGUGCAUUUGUCCCUUCUGAACCAAGUCGUGUCAGCAGACAUACUGGUACUUGUAUCUCAACUCAUAGGAGGGAGCAGACUUCUUUAUUUGGGAUGACAACAUUGCCAUAAAACCGGACUUGCCGGAGACCCAGACGGAGGGAGGGGUGGAAAAGUCUGUGGAUAGUGAGGGUCAGGAUAAUUCAGUCAGUAUAGUGGACAUCACAGAGUCCAUCAACUACAUAGAGACCAACAAGGAUGCCUUUGAGGAAAGUGAUGACAUCCCCUCCAAGUACUCCCUGAAGUCUGUUCUGACCACUGACCAGAUUCUCCAUUACUAUUGGAGAUUAUCUAAACGCAUGCAGUUGACAUCUACCUGCCUGCAGAGAUGGAUGGCCAGCUGGAUUGCAUUUAUCAUUAUCUGGUGUGGGGACUACAUUUUGUACUGGAUCAGUCAUCACGCCAAAGUCUUGGGCAUCUUGGAGUUCCUCAUUCCUCUAGCUCUUCUCUUUAUUGCUACAUCAGCUUUUGCAGAAGCCAACUUUGAAGGAGAGAGGAUGAUUCAGUGCAUAUAUCCUACAGAGGACAGAUUGAGAGUUCAGGCAUUCCUUCGCCAGCAGCCACUCCAAAUGAAGGUAUUCAACAUCAGUGUUUCCUACAAUGCGAUACUUGGAGUCAUCCUUGCCUUUGCCGCGGCCAUUGCCUCACGAAUCAUUCUGGACGAGCUUAGCAUGUAAGAGGUCCAUGCAGUUGACUUUGAAGUACAUGUACUAUAUUGUUGUAAAUACUCAUCAUAUAUAUAUCUAUAUAUACUCAUUUUAGAGCUAUAAAUGAGAUUAGGAUAUACCUGCAAUGGCUAUUUUAAGUCAACCCCAUAGGCCACGUAUUUCUGUUAUAAUUGCCUAAUAAAAUUGUCAUGGGUUUUUGUACAAUUCUAUAUAUUUUGUAUAUUUUAAUAAAUUAAAAAGAUAUUUAUAUCACAUUUAUUAUAUGAGAUGAACUAUGUGUAAUUAUAAAUUGUAUCAUAUACAUGUAAACAAGCUUGUGCAAAAUGUUUUCUUUGAUUUUGUUAAAAUAAAUGCUUUACACAUGUU